CUUAUAUGUUCUAACUGAGCUUCCGUCCUUCUGUUCAGAUGUGUUGGCUUAGACUUUGCACCUGUGUAACAGACUGGCAACGAAACAGGACAAAGUAUUAAAAAAUGUACAGCUUCUGAAUUCAAAUGGUUUCCCCUUUUCAUUGUUGCAUUUUAAAACAGCCACAGCACCAUAGUUUAUGAAAAAAUGUAUUAAAUCUAAACGCUCAUUACGAAAUUAUAACAUUAUUUCGUUAUGAUGCAACAUAGUGCAAGUCUUUUGUGUUUAUUAUGCAUCAGCACAGAUUUGAUCUAGCUUUUUUAUUCUUAAUCAUCCUAAUUAGGUACUGAUCCUUGGGGGAGUGGUGGUGAGAAACUAUAUUGAUUCACACAUACAUCGCAUGCUGUCUGUUGCUAAUCAGAUUCAAAGACGUUCUACAGGUCACCAAGGUGUCGAAGAGGUUAACACGUGAUGAGCGGAUCGAAAUUGUGUUGAUAUCUGGUGAACGCAGUAACCGGGUCAUUGCAGCAGAUUUUCAAUGCAAGACACCCUACGAGACCACCCAUCUCCCAUGCUACAGUUAGCCAACUGCUGGCUAAUUUUCAUGUAACUGGUCAGUGUUGUGUUUGAAAAAAUGUGGAUGCAGAAAAAAUUUCAGUAAUGAGGAAAUUUAAGUGGCUGUCCUAGCUUCAUUCAGCAAGAGCCACAGCGUAGCACUUGCUGCAUGUCACUAGAGCAUUCCUAGAUGACAGUUUCCUACGAGUUUCUUUCUCCAGUUUGAUACGAGAUGUGCAGCACCUGAAACUAUGGAUACUGGAAGCCUGUGCUGGAUUUCUCCCGCGGUUGUUGCAAUGAGUGUGUGAAGAGUAGGAGAAGAGGGUUUCAUUGACAAUCUAACUAAAUGGGUAGCAAUUGAACACAUUUUAUAAGUGAUCAGAAACUUGUAAAUAACUCAUAAAAGAAUAAAGUUACGUUAAACCCAA